UUCAGCAGGAGCUCAGAUGAAAUCCUGUAUUGCAUAUCUGGAAUCUGAAAUCUCUGUAACAGAAACUUCUCAAGAAGAAAUCAAUGAAACCACAUUUCGGAAAUACAAGCAACUCUAUCUAAAAGAAUUGAAAAUUAGAAAAUUGUCAUACAAAAAACUAAGAGAAAUUCAUCAGAAUCUAACAGAAGACACUGCUGAUUUGCUUGAUGAAAAAAAGAGUAACAGAUCUUGAUGUAUCACUCUUGCCAUAAGCUGCUUCUGAAUAUGCAUCUGGAUUCGACAUAUCUUCUCCUUUAAUCAUAUGAUGUGUUAAAUGUAAACCAAGUUCUAGUUGGAAAAGCACAUGAGAAUAUAUACAAAUUUUACAGAAAAA